rnacentral:rRNA from 1 species
UCCAUCACUUGGAAAGAAAUUUUUAUGAGAUCAUUCUUUUUGGUUGUAUUGAAAAAAACUUUAAAAAUUUUUUGUUUCAUGUAUGUUAGGUGUUUUUGUUUUAUAGAAAAAUUAGGGUUUUGUACUUUUUGUAUCAUGGGGUAUAUAGAGGUUUGUUAAAUUAUUGUUCCUGAAAGGUUCUGAUCUAUCUUCUUUGUUUUGUGUGGUGUUGCAGAACCAUAAGAAAAAAGUUGAUGGAUAGUGAUAUGCUUGUCGCAGGGCCUGAUAGCUGGUUAGGUGGGAAAUGCGCAUAAGUGCAGUGUAAUGUGUAAUAAGCGUAGAUUUUGUUGUAAUGCGUUUGUUGUCUUAUAGUGAGGUUAUAGGGGUAAGCUCUAGUAACGUUUAGGUGUACAGGUUUUGUUAAGUAGAGUUAGUAUUGCUGGAUAAUUGUCCUAGCUCUUUUUAGAGUAGUCUAUGACGAUGGCCGUUCAUUUUAUAAUCUUAUGUUAAAUUGUUGUUCAAAGUUACUUUCGAAUUUGGUUGGUUGCAGUACCAUUUGAGGUUCUAAAAUUUUUUGGGUUCACAGUAGUAUGCCAUGCGUAGGUGUUUAGAUAUGGUUGUAGUUUAGUGGGGUUGAGUUGUGUUUGUUUGUGUGUUUUUGUUUUAAUUAUUUUGAUAUUAUUUUAAAUUUAUUUAAGUAGGCCUAAGGAACUCGGCAAAAAUUUUCUUCGCCUGUUUAUUAAAAACAUCGCUCUUAGCUUAAAAUUAAUAAGAGUCGUGCCUGCCCGGUGAGUUUACUUAAACGGUUGCUAUUAUAGUAGUACUAAGGUAGCGCAAUAAAUUGUCCUUUAAUUGGGGAAGGGAAUGAAUGGCUUGACGUGAGAAAAUCUGUCUCAGGUUUAGAAAUUGAAAUUUACUUUUAGGUGAAAAGGCUUAAAUAAGGUUAUUAGACGAGAAGACCCCGUCGAGCUUGAUAAGGUGGUGAAGAUAAAGUUUAUCACUAAAGUUUUGUUGGGGUGACAGGAAGCAGAAUUAACGCAUCCUAUUUUGUUUAUUUCGAUCUUAUACUAUGGAUAAAAAGAAAAAGCUACCGCGGGGAUAACAGCGUAAUGUUUCUGGAAAGAUCAAAUUGAAAGAAAGUGUUGCGACCUCGAUGUUGAAUUAAGGUGUCAUCCUGGCGCAGUAGUUAGGAUAGUAGGUCUGUUCGCCCUUUAAAGCCUUACAUGAUUUGAGUUUAGACCGGCGCGAGCUAGGUCGGAUUCUAUCUUUAUUUAAAGCUUUCUUUGUACGAAAGGAUCGGAGAGUUGGCACGAUAAGUGUUUGUUAAUAUAAAUGGGAUAAUU